rnacentral:rRNA from 1 species
GAGUUUGAUCCUGGCUCAGGAUGAACGCUAGCGAUAGGCCUUACACAUGCAAGUCGAGGGGCAGCACAAAGAAAGUAGCAAUACCUUUUUGGUGGCGACCGGCGCACGGGUGAGUAACGCGUAUGCAACCUACCUACUACUUUGGGAUAGCUCGUUGAAAGACGAAUUAAUACCUUAUAAAACAGGGGCUCCGCAUGGAGAUAUUUGUUAAAGCCCCGAUGCAAAUCGGUGUGGUAGUAGAUGGGCAUGCGUUCCAUUAGUUAGUUGGCGAGGUAACGGCUCACCAAGACAACGAUGGAUAGGGGAACUGAGAGGUUUUACCCCCACACUGGAACUGAGACACGGUCCAGACUCCUACGGGAGGCAGCAGUGAGGAAUCUUGGUCAAUGGGCGCAAGCCUGAACCAGCCAAGUCGCGUGAAGGAUGACGGCCCUACGGGUUGUAAACUUCUUUUUUAAGGGAAUAAAGUGAGCCACGAGCUGGCUUUUUGCAUGUACCUUACGAAUAAGGAUCGGCUAACUCCGUGCCAGCAGCCGCGGUAAUACGGAGGAUCCGAGCGUUAUCCGGAUUUAUUGGGUUUAAAGGGUGCGCAGGCGGAAUAUUAAGUCGGCGGUGAAAGUUUGCAGCUUAACUGUAAAAUUGCCGUUGAUACUGGUAUUCUUGAGUGUAUAUGAAGUAGGCGGAAUUUGUAGUGUAGCGGUGAAAUGCAUAGAUAUUACAAGGAACUCCGAUUGCGAAGGCAGCUUACUAAAAUACAACUGACGCUCAGGCACGAAGGCGUGGGUAUCAAACAGGAUUAGAUACCCUGGUAGUCCACGCAGUAAACGAUGAUUACUCGCUGUUUGCGAUACACAGUAAGCGGCUUAGCGAAAGCGUUAAGUAAUCCACCUGGGGAGUACGUUCGCAAGAAUGAAACUCAAAGGAAUUGACGGGGGCCCGCACAAGCGGAGGAACAUGUGGUUUAAUUCGAUGAUACGCGAGGAACCUUACCCGGGCUUGAAAUGCAUUUGACCGGCUCAGAGACGAGCCUUCCCUUCGGGGCAAAUGUGUAGGUGCUGCAUGGUUGUCGUCAGCUCGUGCCGUGAGGUGUCGGCUUAAGUGCCAUAACGAGCGCAACCCUCAUCAUUAGUUACUAACAGGUUAAGCUGAGGACUCUAAUGAGACUGCCAUCGUAAGAUGUGAGGAAGGUGGGGAUGACGUCAAAUCAUCAUGCCCUUUAUGGUCUGGGCUACACACGUGCUACAAUGGCGAUUACAGAGGGCAGCGAAACCGCGAGGUGGAGCAAAUCCCUAAAGGUCGCCCCAGUUCAGAUUGCAGGCUGAAACUCGCCUGCAUGAAGUAGGAAUUGCUAGUAAUGGCAGGUCAGCAUACUGCCGUGAAUACGUUCCCGGGCCUUGUACACACCGCCCGUCACACCAUGAGAGUUGACAACACCCGAAGUCAGUAGCUUAACCGCAAGGAGAGCGCUGCCGAAGGUGGGGUUGAUGAUUAGGGUGAAGUCGUAACAAGGUAGCCG